UACACAAUUCACUGCAGUUGUUUUGAAAAAGAACCAAUUAUUUUUAGCCAAUUAAUCCACCAUUAAUUUAAGUUAACCUUUUCAAAGUGCAGUUGCAGUCGUUAUCUUGGACAAGCACCAGCAACAGCAGCAGGCGAAUAAAGAUUGGGCCAUGACUACACAGUGUUGUUCCAAUUUUACAUUUUCAUUGCCAACAACCUCACAGGUUAGGUUAUCGGAAAAUCACUAUUCAGCGAAGCACUUGCGCUAUUGCAGAGUAGCAAUGCUAUAGCUCUAGACCCGGCGAUGAUCUUGGCGCAUGCAACGACAACAAAUGAUAUAAAAACUGCUUUCGGUUACCAGAAUAAACAGCAAUCGCAUGUUGUUCCACUUGAACCAGGAGUUCCAGGAAAGAAUCUCGUCCAAGAUAGACUGAAAAUUAAAAUCAUUAAAAAUAUCUAUGUGUAACAAAAAUAACAAUUCCCAUUCAAACGGUGGCGAAGGAAGUGGGGGAGUCACAUUAGAUACGACACCAGCUUUGUCAUCUGUUGAGUCGGAUCAGCCAAUAAGUCCAUUGGCGAUCGUAUACAUUAAAUGUGCUAAAAAUUGAAACCCAAAUUAAUUUGCAGUAAUAAACAAUCAUUUUCAAUUUAUUCCGAAACUCGAUACUGAAACAUCAACCUUACAAUACUUAUGGUUAGACGGUGUUCGCAUCCGGAAUCAAAAUAUAAUGUUUCGGUGGCAUGGAAACACAUUUACUUUUGGUGUGCAUAGCAGAAUGUUCCAGUCGGCUUAGACGAAGCUGUUAAAUAACUGGCAAUGUUUUAAUUCGAGUUCGAAGGUCAAAAUUUUCUAGAAACGCUUGGAAGGGAGUGAAGCCGUUUGCAAUGUCAAUGAAGUCAAUCUGAUUGAAAAGUUAUUAAAAGGAUCAUCAUCUGACCUCUUAGAACUUAGAUGAUAGUCAAACGAUUAGAUUAAAUGGAAUCAAAAGUUAUAUUAAUAAUUAAUAAUAAUUAUAAGAAGAAACAAAUUGUAAAUAUAAUGACAGUAAAUUAAAUCAACGCAUCCCAAAAGCAUUUGAUCCUCCUCGCGGUUGUGUUGGAGCGUCACCUGCUAUUGCCUUUUAAACUCAUAUAAUAUCGCUUUAUACAAAUUUAUUGAAAUAAAAAUGUAUACACAUUUGUAUGUACAUACAAAAUAAUUUAA